rnacentral:rRNA from 1 species
AGAGUUUGAUCCUGGCUCAGAUUGAACGCUGGCGGCAUGCCUAACACAUGCAAGUCGAACGGCAGCAUGAGAUGGGGUAACCCAUUUUGAUGGCGAGUGGCGGACGGGUGAGUAAUAUGUAGGAAUCUACCUAGAGGAGCGGGAUAACUUAGGGAAACUUAAGCUAAUACCACAUAAUCCCUACGGGGGAAAGCAGGGGACCGCAAGGCCUUGCGCCUUAUGAUGAGCCUACAUCGGAUUAGCUAGUUGGUGGGGUAAAGGCCUACCAAGGCGAUGAUCCGUAGCUGGUCUGAGAGGAUGAUCAGCCACACUGGGACUGAGACACGGCCCAGACUCCUACGGGAGGCAGCAGUGGGGAAUAUUGGACAAUGGGGGCAACCCUGAUCCAGCAAUGCCGCGUGUGUGAAGAAGGCCUUAGGGUUGUAAAGCACUUUCAGUGGGGAGGAAGUUUAUUGUGUUAAUACCAUAAUGAAUUGACGUUACCCACAGAAGAAGCACCGGCUAACUCUGUGCCAGCAGCCGCGGUAAUACAGAGGGUGCGAGCGUUAAUCGGAAUUACUGGGCGUAAAGGGUGUGUAGGUGGUUGCGUAAGUUAGAUGUGAAAUCCCCGGGCUUAACCUGGGAACUGCGUUUAAAACUGCGUAGCUAGAGUAUUGCAGAGGAUAGUGGAAUUUCCAGUGUAGCGGUGAAAUGCGUAGAUAUUGGAAGGAACACCAGUGGCGAAGGCGACUAUCUGGGCAGAUACUGACACUGAGACACGAAAGCGUGGGGAGCAAACAGGA